rnacentral:rRNA from 1 species
AUUGAACGCUGGCGGCAUGCUUUACACAUGCAAGUCGAACGGUAACAGGCCGCAAGGUGCUGACGAGUGGCGAACGGGUGAGUAAUGCAUCGGAACGUGCCCAGUCGUGGGGGAUAACGCAGCGAAAGCUGUGCUAAUACCGCAUACGAUCUAUGGAUGAAAGCGGGGGACCGUAAGGCCUCGCGCGAUUGGAGCGGCCGAUGUCAGAUUGGGUAGUUGGUGGGGUAAAGGCUCACCAAGCCAACGAUCUGUAGCUGGUCUGAGAGGACGACCAGCCACACUGGGACGGAGACACGGCCCAGACUCCUACGGGAGGCAGCAGUGGGGAAUUUUGGACAAUGGGCGCAAGCCUGAUCCAGCAAUGCCGCGUGCAGGAAGAAGGCCUUCGGGUUGUAAACUGCUUUUGUACGGAACGAAAAGGUUUGGGUUAAUACCCUGGGCCGAUGACGGUACCGUAAGAAUAAGCACCGGCUAACUACGUGCCAGCCGCCGCGGUAA